ACGAACGGAUCGAACCUGUUGCGAGUCGAACUUGGUUCGAGCUCGAGCAGCGGGUCGAUCCGAGCCA
rfam:Drosophila pseudoobscura pseudoobscura strain MV2-25 unplaced genomic scaffold Tnknown_singleton_2064, whole genome shotgun sequence.